rnacentral:rRNA from 1 species
AGUGAACGCUGGCGGUAGGCCUAACACAUGCAAGUCGAACGGCAGCACAGUAAGAGCUUGCUCUUACGGGUGGCGAGUGGCGGACGGGUGAGGAAUACAUCGGAAUCUACUUUUUCGUGGGGGAUAACGUAGGGAAACUUACGCUAAUACCGCAUACGACCUACGGGUGAAAGCAGGGGAUCUUCGGACCUUGCGCGAUUGAAUGAGCCGAUGUCGGAUUAGCUAGUUGGCGGGGUAAAGGCCCACCAAGGCGACGAUCCGUAGCUGGUCUGAGAGGAUGAUAAGCGACACUGGAAAUGAGACACGGUCCAGAGUCUUACGGGAGGCGGCAGAGGGGAAUAUUGGAGAAAGGGCGCAAGACUGAGCCAGACAUACAGCGUGGGUGAAGAAGGCCUUCGGGGUGUAUAGCCCUUUUGUUGGGAAAGAAAAGCAGCAGGUUAAAAUCCCGCUGUUCUGACGGUACCCAAAGAAUAAGCACCGGCUAACUUCGUG